AUGGAUAAUCCUUGCACAUUGCCCACACAUGUUGCCAUCCAGAAGCUCCUCCAGUGCAAACCCAUGGGACAAAGCACCAACAAGGAAUGGCCCCCAGGAAUCCUUUUUUCAGCUGCAGUCAGAAACAUCCACCUUGCCAGACACAGAGAGGCAGGGAGUCCAACACGGACAACUUCCAGCCUUUUAACACAAGUCUUGCUUAGGCUGACAGGCAAGCACAGCAAGCCCAGCUCCCACCAGCAGCUGUGCCUGUUAGCUGCCAGCCCCCACGGAGACAGCUCUCUGAGCUGCGUUUUUAAGCAAGGAGAAACCACGGUGCUCAGUGGGAAGAAGGGCUGUGGAGAAGACUUGCAGAAGGAAGCAGCAGGUAGAGGAGCAGAUUGGGGCCAACAUCUUUGUGACAGGCUGAUUUGCAGAGAGAAGGAUUCAGCCAAGUUUCAAAGCUUCCCUGACAGCAUUUCUGUAGUCUGCAGUGCGCUCAGAGGAGAGCCUUCACCCGCUGCAUGGGGACUUGUCGCUGAUCUGAAGCUACCUCUGCUGAAUAUCAGGGAAAUCAUAAGCACUGGCCUGUGCUGCUUCACGCACCUUCCUCGCCUGGAGGCAAAUGAAGCCCAUCAACAUGGAGCUCCAGCAAGGUGCCGUGCUUCACUUUUUAUUGCACUCUUCAUGGAGACUGGAGAGCAAAAUCACCAGCAGGUUUCUACCUUUGUGGUAUUCCUGCUCCAGGAGAGACAUUGGCUUGCCUCUUGCAAACGCUGCAUCUGUUGGAAUGCUGCACGGUCAGAAAAGACACCCACCAUGCCUGAAUGGAUAUUGCUGGGGCUUGCUGCCACUUCAUCGCAGAGCAAGGACUGA
rnacentral:lncRNA from 1 species